rnacentral:snoRNA from 1 species
AAAAACCAAUAAUCGUGCGGAUUAUCAAACCAGGACUAUAAAACCGUGUUGCUAGUAUGCCUUUUCUAUGGUGUAAUUCUAGCGUCAAGUCCAUCGGAGAGAACAUCUCGUUCAUCUUAGCGCUCUUUUGUGCAUCGAGUGGUCCCAUUAGGGCCGAGAUCGUUGUGCAAGGGCCGGUAGAACGUACAUCU